CAUAUAUAGCGCUCUCCUCACUUCGCCUCGAAACCUCCCAAAACCCUAACCCUAAUGGCGAUAAAACAACCACCGCCUCCUCCAUCGCCGCCCCCUUCCUCAUCUGAGGAAGAAGAGGAAUCCUCUUCCGGCGAAGAUGAAGAAACCAUUACCAAGAGCCCCAACAGCCAAACUCCAACCAGGAACCAAGAACAAGAAGAAGAAACCGACGAAGAGAGCGAAUCCGGCUCCAGCGACGACGAAGACGAUGACGAAGAGGAUGAGGAUCCCCCGUCGGAUAGGAGGCCCCAGUCCAUCUCCACAGCGGCGUCUUUGCCCCUCAAACCCUUCGACGCUGGCGAUAAGUCAAACGGAAAGGGCAACGCCAACGGCAAGGCCUUGUUCCAGCGAAUCUGGAGCCUCGAGGAUGAGAUCGCAAUCCUCGAAGGAAUGAUGGAAUUCGAGCCCGAACGCGGUCCCAUCAAGCUCAACGCUGCGGGGAUUCGAGACUUCCAUGAAUUUGUGAAAGGUUCGUUGAGCCUCGAGGUUAGCGGUUCCCAGCUCCUGGAGAAGAUUAAGAGGCUCAAGAAGAAGUACGAGUCCAUUGCUGCCCGUGCGAAUAACGGGAAAGCAGUCAAGUUUGGGAAACCACACGAUAAGAAAGUGUAUGAGCUCUCGAUGGAAGUUUGGGGGAUGGGGAAUAACAAUGUGGCUAAUGAUGCAGGAGGGAGUUUGAAGAGGGAGUAUCCGUUCAUUAAGGAUGCCAUGUUGGAUGUGAGGUGUUGCAUCUCAGCGGAGCUCUUGGAGACGCUUGACCCAGAAAAGGUGAGGCCUCUGGAGAGGGAGUUUAAGAAGCAAAAAGUGCUGGAGAUCAAGAACAGAAUUCGCAGGAUAGACUUAAUGAAGCAAGCCCUUCAGCGGGUACUGGAGGAUGUAGAGAACAUGGCGGAUUGUAUCUGGGGAGUCUGAUGAACCUCGUAUUCUUACAAAAGAUCCAGAAGGGCUUUCAUAUUUUCUUCUCCAUCAAGGAAUUACACGGACAGGGUACCGAGUUGCAUGGCAAGAUGUUCUUGGUUGUCGCCUGCUUGUGGAUGAACUAGUGUAGGUUUGUUCGUAUAGAACCUCUAAAUAUGCACUUCCUUGUAGGAUUUUGUUCAGUGGUGUUGCUAGUUCUGGAUUUUUUUACCAUUUUUUUAAAAAUAUUUCGAACUCCUAACUUUUUAAUGUUUACUCAUUUUUAUAUUUCUGAUUCCCAACUUUUGUGGAAUUUUGUUCAGUGGUGUUACUGAUUGUUUUGUUCAGUGGUGUUACUAGUUUUUGUAUAACAUUACCAAAAUGUCAAAUCAUGGACUUCAUUUUCCAAA